rnacentral:rRNA from 1 species
CCUACGGGAGGCAGCAGUGAGGAAUAUUGGUCAAUGGACGCAAGCCUGACGCAGCGACGCCGCGUGAGGGAUGAAGGUCUUCGGAUCGUAAACCUCUGUCAGCAGGGAAGAACGGUCACUGUGCUAAUCAGCAGUGAAUUGACGGUACCUGCACAGGAAGCACCGGCUAACUCCGUGCCAGCAGCUGCGGGAAUACGGAGGGGGCGAGCGGUAAUAGGAAGUACUGGGCGUAAAGCGCGCGUAGGCGGUAUGUCAAGGCACGGGUGAAGGCCCCGCGCGCAACGUGGGAACUGCCUUUGAAACUGGCAAACUGGAGUGUGUGAGAGGCUAGUGGACUUCCAGGUGU